UUUGACACAGGGAGGUAGUGACAAUAAAUAACAAUGCCGGGCCUUAUAAGGUCUGGUAAUUGCAAUGAGUAUAAUUUAAAUCCCUUAGCGAGGAUCCACUGGAGGGCAAGUCUGGUGCCAGCAGCCGCGGUAAUUCCAGCUCCAGUAGCGUAUAUUAAAGUUGUUGCAGUUAAAAAGCUCGUAGUUGGAUUUCUGGCUUGACGCGUCUGACCCGCCACAGUUAUGUUCUGUGAGUGCCGGUGCGCGUUUACCAUCCUUCUAGAAAACGUUUCUACCCUUUACUGGGCCGGACUCGCGAUCUAGAUCUUUUACUUUGAAGAAAUUAGAGUGUUCAAAGCAGGCUCGCGCUGUGAAUACAUUAGCAUGGAAUAAUAAUCUAGGACUCCGGUUCUAUUUUGUUGGUUUCUAGGACUGAAGUAAUGAUUGAUAGGGAUAGUUGGGGGUGCUAGUAUUCAGCGGCCAGAGGUGAAAUUCUCGGAUUCGCUGAAGACUAACUUAUGCGAAAGCAUUCACCAAGGAUGUCUUCUUUAAUCAAGAACGAAAGUUGGGGGAUCGAAGACGAUCAGAUACCGUCGUAGUCUCAACCAUAAACUAUACCGACU
rnacentral:rRNA from 1 species